UGGGGAAUUGUUCGCAAUGGGCGCAAGCCUGACGACGCAACGCCGCGUGGAGGACGAAGAUCUUCGGGUCGUAAACUCCUGUCGAGCGGGAAGAACGCUUCCCGGGUGAAUAAUCCGGGGAAUUGACGGUACCGCUAAAGGAAGCCCCGGCUAACUCCGUGCCAGCAGCCGCGGUAAGACGUAGGGGGCCAGCGUUGUUCGGAAUUACUGGGUGUAAAGGGUUCGUAGGCGGUGUGGCAAGUCGGGAGUGAAAUUUCUGGGCUCAACUCAGAGACUGCUUCCGAAACUGCUGUGCUUGAGUGUGGGAGAGGCGCGUGGAAUUGCAGGUGUAGCGGUGAAAUGCGUAGAUAUCUGCAGGAACACCCGUGGCGAAAGCGGCGCGCUGGACCACUACUGACGCUGAGGAACGAAAGCUAGGGGAGCAAAC
rnacentral:rRNA from 1 species